rnacentral:rRNA from 1 species
UACGUAGGUGGCGAGCGUUGUCCGGAAUUACUGGGCGUAAAGGGCGUGUAGGCGGAAAUUUAAGUCAGAUGUGAAAGCCCCGGGCUUAACCUGGGGACUGCAUUUGAUACUGGAUUUCUUGAGGACAGGAGAGGAAAGCGGAAUUCCUAGUGUAGCGGUGAAAUGCGUAGAUAUUAGGAGGAACACCAGUGGCGAAGGCGGCUUUCUGGACUGUAACUGACGCUGAGGCGCGAAAGCGUGGGGAGCAAACGGGAUUAGAUACCCCGGUAGUCCACGCCGUAAACGAUGGGUACUAGGUGUAGGAGGUAUCGACCCCUUCUGUGCCGGAGUUAACGCAAUAAGUACCCCGCCUGGGGAGUACGGCCGCAAGGUUGAA